rnacentral:rRNA from 1 species
UACGGGGGGAGCAAGCGUUGUUCGGAUUUACUGGGCGUAAAGGGCGCGUAGGCGGUCAUCUCAAGUCAGUUGUGAAAUCUCCGGGCUUAACUCGGAAAGGUCAACUGAUACUGUGCGACUAGAGUGCAGAAGGGGCAACUGGAAUUCUCGGUGUAGCGGUGAAAUGCGUAGAUAUCGAGAGGAACACCUGCGGCGAAGGCGGGUUGCUGGGCUGACACUGACGCUGAUGCGCGAAAGCCAGGGGAGCGAACGGG